UCUCCUUUCUCUCUCUCUCUGAAUCACUCAACUCCAGACAUUUUGACAUCACAGAUUCUCUCUGAAUCAUUCCCCUCUGCUUAGUUCAGCAAAAAUUGAAGGAAAAAAAUGGAACAUGAUUAAAGAAUAAACACACACAAGAUAUCUAUCAGACCCUAGGGAAAUAUUUAUAUAAGUCUCCAUGGAAACCUAUCAGAGUGCUAGUGUUGUUUACAGAAACACAACGGAUUGGGAGGUUUCCUUAUCUUCUGUGGUAUCCACUGAAAUGGCUACUUACAAUAUUGUUAGAACUCGAGUUUAAUCAUGUACCUCUCUGAUGUUCGCAAUGACGAAAACUUGCUACCAAUACUGAAUGCCUAGUGCAUGUACAUUAUCUUGUAUCAUUAGUACCACUUGCUUGCAUUUGUCAAAAAAUAUUCCUGCUUUCUAACAUAAUGUAAUCCUUACACAAUUAUAAUUAGAUAAUUCCCUGCAUUUAAUAGAACCAAUGAUUGCAAAAUACAGCAAUUCUUUGAAAUGCUCUGCCUUACUACUUCAAUAGCUGAGAGUGCCACAUGCUUCUAUAACCAGACACUCUAGGGAAAACAAACAUGCAGUGAAUUGCACUGCAGCAUGUUGAAAUGUCAAGAAGGUUAUAGUUAUGAACAAAGAUAGCAUUAUGCUGUGUUCCUUAUGCCAUAUCAUGUUCUAUGUAGAGAUGUCAUUACUCUUGUCUGACUGGACAUGGACGCUUUCAGUGACACAGACAGAACUUUGUGCUCUCAGAGCAAUCUGAUCAGGAUUCUCUGAUUCAAUCCACACUGCUAUUUUUUAACUCUCAUAAAUCAUCAGUGAGUUCCUUUCUUGCAACAGUUGCAUUACACAAGAAGCUGCAACAAUACAUCCAGCUACACAUGACACACUAAGCAAUCUGUGAUAUCCACUCUGUCUCAAACCGCUGACUUUCAUGGUGAUUGAUUCUGGCAUCCAACAACUGUACUAAAGUUAUAGGCUUGUGUGUAUUACUAUACUCCACAAUCAAAUUGCAAACUGGCUACUGCACUGCAACCUGACAAAGACAAGUACAUAAGUGGUCCUACUAUCAACCUACUAUGGUUACUUGUUUUAAAGAUCAUUCUACUUUAAAUCACACUUACUAUCCCACUUAUGAGUCAAGGGAGAAGAGACAAUAUGUUGUCAUUUCGUUCAUACCAUAGUCAAGUUAUCUUGAAAUGCAAGUGAAGCAGAGUAAUUGCUAUUUCAUCUUGAAAUUUUCCCCUCUGCACAAAAGGAUUCCAUCUGACAGGUGUUUUAAUUUACCUGAUGGUCAAAAUAGGUAAUUGACCAUGUGACUGAUUUCAUUGCAUGAAAACUUAAUCAUUAACAAUGCUAUUAGGUGCAUGAGAGAAUUAUGAAAUGGACAGCCUGAGUCUUCACUCAUGAACUUCGAAAAAAGUAGAACUGCAAUGACACAUGGUAUGUGGGUUUUUUAUUUUUAUGACUGAAGUUACCAUCUUGUUUUUCUUACAUCAUCACAUCUAAUGGAAUUUGCAAACCUCAAAACCAUACUUUGGCAAAGAUAACAGCUGAACAGUUUUUCAUCUUAUGCAAGAAAAAUAUCUUUUGAAACAGUCUAUUAUAAACAAUUCUUAAUGCAUGUCUAUACCUUAAUAAGUUAAGGCACAGACAAAAAUAUUUUGUACUCAAUAACCUUCAAAAUUUAUCAAAAAUCACAAAACCACAAAAUGAAGAAUUUAUCAGUGCAGACUAAGGGAGAUUUAAAAAUAUGCUUCCAUAUCAUCUGUAACACACCUUAUAAUCAAUGGAGAUUCAGAAAAGUGUUUAUAAAUGAUAAAUGGUAAGCUUUUGCCCAGACUGUUAUCUCUAUAAUUAUUGCUGUUCUUAACACUUCUGAAUUUCAGAAUUUGACUACUAUUUAACACAUGUACUGGAAUUUCUCCUAAUAAAAAAAGUACUCAGGAAGCUAUAUGGAGAUUUCCUGAAAGCUGUGAUUGAUGAAGUAGGUCAGACUUAACAUGCCUGUUAAGCCAUCCUGCCAUGAAAUAAAUGAAGAACAUCUGAACUCGUUUACCAUCCAUGGUCUGCAAACCAUCAACUCAAAGAAUUCUCUAGGUUAAAAAAAAUUCCCAGAUUAUCAGCCCCCAUAUAUCUUCUGAUCAAGGCACUUUAUUUGAAUUCUAUAUAAACUUUUUGUUAUUUUUUUUUUCUUGGGUUAAUGAUAAAAAUUCUCUUAGACUAGUACUUUAUGCUUUGUAAAUCAGGUCUGUUUUCUCAGUUAAAGCUUUAUUUUAUUCCAAUCACUUCACUAAAAUAAUCCAAGCAGUCUUCAUUGCAAAUGGAUUUCUGAAGCUUCAGUUUUUCCCCCGAGUUGUCCUAUCAAUUUGAUAAUGUCAGAGUAGGAGUUUGGAGUUGGAUAACUCGACAACUCAAAUUUCGGGAAAAUAGGUUGAACAAAAGUAUUGUUUAUCGAGAUUUAAUCACCAAAUCUUUUAAAGAAAUGACAGAAAAUGAUAUUGAAAAAAGAAGUAGAAAGCAUAAACCUUAUGUAUUAUUCACUGGUAAUGAAUAUCACCAGUAGAGUGCCUAUCACAAUUGCAUUUUAAUAAUUUCACAAAUUUCUUGAAAUCUCGAACUUUCCAAAAUUUCUACCCAAUUAUACCAAUGUAUUUAUACAUAAUAUUUCUGGUCCUAAAAUUUAUGUACAAAAACUAUGGAACAUACAGAUGUUGGCAGCUAGUCUUAUCCUGUGUUCAUGAAACUUUAUAUAUUUGUUAUUAAUCACCCCCCAGAGCACUAAGACACCCCCUGCAAGGUAAGCAUCUUAUUGCCAGCAGAAAUGCAGAUAUCAAAGGCAGCAUAAUUCUUGCUAGAUGACACACAGAGUGUAACAUUGCUAAUGGCAACAAAGGUGGGGCCCCACUAAUGCAACAACAAGUUGUUAAUUAUAGGAUAUAAGUACAUGCUUAUUGCAUCCAGUUAUAAAAACUUGCAUUCUAUUACAUUAAACUUGUGUUCAUCAAAUUUGAACAACACUUUUUCAAUUUUAUUCUGUUUCAAAAACUCCUUUUUCAUUACAAGUUUUUGAAAAUUCAUCAGUUUUAAACAAAAUUCACUACUCUUGAGUUGAUUUUGGUGAAUGGCUACCAGCAGUACAAUGUAUGUAGUACAUCCUUCACUACAUCACAGCUGCUGUGUAAAGUUUUGGACCCAAAAUGAUUGCAUCCAGACAUCCCACUAAAAACACCCUGAAUCUGGGUCAUCUGAUGAACAGUCAGGAUAAAGCAACAGCAGGGGGCAUAUCCUCACAAUCUUCAACAUAUACUACUUGUCUUCAGGAGAUCUCAGUGAUGACAACUCCACAAGUCUUCAGAAGACAGUAAUGGAAUAUCCACAACACUUUAGGAGACUACUAAGGCCAACUCUAUUCUUGCUGGAGUGAAACACUAUUAAAGCAGGGAAGAAAGCAGUGGAAUUGAUGGCCAAUGGAUAUCAACCUAGAAAACUUGGUGGUUAGAGCACCUGACUAGUGAUUAUAAUGCACACAUUGCCAGUUCUCGACCCAGGCCAGCUGACAAGAUCCCCAGCAGAAUAUCCUCUCUGUUACACCAUAACACCAAACUGAAUAGUUACAAUAGCCGCAUCCUAAGCCCAGGAGCCAUAGUAUGAACAAACUUGAAUCUACACUAAAAGAUUAGGAUCCUUGCAAAAAGACAAAUUAUAUUUUGUACACUUGCGCUUUUGAGAAGAAGAUUUUUUAAAAGAAUUUUCCAAUAAAAUCUUAUGUGGAAAUUGGAACCCAGUACUAGUCUUCUGAUGG